UACGUAGGGGGCAAGCGUUGUCCGGAUUUAUUGGGCGUAAAGAGCGUGUAGGCGGUUAGGUAGGUCCGUUGUGAAAACCCGAGGCUCAACCUCGAGACGUCGGUUGAAACCAUCUGGCUAGAGUCCGGAAGAGGAGAGUGGAAUUCCCGGUGUAGCGGUGAAAUGCGCAGAUAUCGGGAAGAACACCCGUGGCGAAGGCGGCUCUCUGGGACGGUACUGACGCUGAGACGCGAAAGCGUGGGGAGCGAACAGG
rnacentral:rRNA from 1 species